rnacentral:tmRNA from 1 species
GGGAAUAAGGCUAGUGACUCUGGGACUAUCUCUGCAGACGCAACGGUGCAUGUUAAUGGACAUUGUUUGAUUAGAUCUUUGAUUGUAUGUAAAGUUCCUGGGUGUACAACUCCAAGAGUCAAGUUUCACGCCUGUGGCAUAUUAGAGGUAGAUGGGGCCCCCGUUAAACAGGGCGAGUUGACACAGGUAAAAUUGUCAGUGGCCCUCCUGAACGUGGACUCUUCAACUGGCAGAGUUUUGAAGGAACCUGUGGUGACUGGAGCAAGUAAAGAUCGAGGGGCUUCAAAGUCAGAAGACGCGGACGGUAGCCCUCCAGUACCAGAUCAUCCCAAAGAAUCCCUCACUAGCGACUCUGAUUCCUCAGUUCCUGGGCCACGAAGUACUGACCUUUCCUCUCUUACCCACACCCCUUCAGAUAGAUUUUCGAGCGACCUUAGAUCAGGGUGUGGGGGGCAACAGUUCCUCAAGAGACCACCCCCUAAGAAAGACAGGGAACCCACCACUAAGCGCCCCAAGCUACAUUUUAACCACUUCCCAUAAAUGAAGAGUCAUUGGUCAGACGUGUUCCUCCCACUCAUUGUGGGAGGAAUGUCUGCUGUUCCCUUUAUCUGGUGUUUAAUUUUUAGAACCCUUUACCUACCAAUAGAAUGUGACUGGAGAUGCUGGAUUUUUGUAUAUGGAUCAAUGAUUUGGCACAUAACCAUGUUUAUGUCACUAUUGUUUAAACAUAAACAUGGGAUGAUUGGCUGGUUUAAGUUGUGUAGUGCAGUUGCCAUAUGUCUGAUUAUAGUUUUGGCUCUUUUAGAACAAUACUGCCCAUAUGAGAUGUACAUUGUUCCUGUUAUAUUCAUAAUAAAUAUAGUUUUGCUUUCCACAUGGGUUCCCAUGGCACUUAUUUCAACAUACAUGUGCAACAGAAUAUAUGCACGCCUCUUGGAACUGGGAUUUUUGGCUGCCAUAAUAGGUUAUUAUGUGAUGUUGCAAAUUGGGGCACAAGAGUCUCCUGCCUUCUGGAUUCCCAUACCAGUGUUGCAUAUUGGGGGAGUGUAUGCUCUUCUCCACUUUAGAACAAGGCCCUGCUUUUUGCACUCUGUUGAAAAAAGACAUAGUAUCUACUACUUUGGAAAUAAUAAGUAUACCGUCUACCCCUGCGAGACCAUUGUGAGGAUGUGCAGCCCUGAAAUUUCCCUGAUGAUUAUUUUGAUUAUGAUGCUGGCCAUUGGCUUCCCCAUCCUGGCAUAUUAUGUGAAAAUUGUUCAAGGUAUGCAAUACUUCUACAUGUUCCUGAUGCUGGGACCAAUGGUAGGGGGCCUAAUUUUUGACAGCAAGAUUGUGGGCACCUUCUUCAUGAUGUUGGCAUUGGUGACUAUGAUUUUUGCUGGAAUUGCACCUGUCUGGUUUCCUCUCAUGGCAGAAAGGACCUUUGUUAUAUCCCUGAUAUUAGCCAACUUUUCUGCUGGCUGCUUUCUGGAAUGUAUGCGUGUCAAGUUAAGGAGAGCCAUAAAUGGUGUCUAUUUUGUUUAUCUAGUAACUGUUUUAUACAAUCUGUUAGUGGCCCUUAUCAUGAUUGCUGUAAGCAUGUAAUUAAUAAAAGACAAAACAGAUAUGC